GCCAGGGUAGCUCAACGGCUGAGCAGGGAUUUCAUAAGUCCAAGACUGCGGGUUCAACUCCCGCCCCUGGUA
rnacentral:tRNA from 1 species